UACUGUGUAAUGUGGUCUAAGAAAGAACCAAGUUGCUAAUCACGUAAACAUGUAAAACAAAAGAGACAAACCAAAUUAGUUUUUCCACCUAUCCUGACUUAUCCUCACGGCAGCCACCCUCUCACUCUCUCACCCCAUGGCACCCCUCUGCAAGACCAUACUCUCUCACCCCUCUUGCUCGUUCUCUCCGCCACAUCGUCGCCGCCGCCAACCCUCUCCGCCACGCCGUCCCAGCCGCCACAACUCCCCACCUUGGCGCGUCCCUGCCUCCUCCCAUCCCCUCCACUCCUCGGUCCCCGCCACAGUUAUCUGUUUCGGCCGGGUCCAGUGAGCAGUGGUGAGACCAGGUGUCGCGGUGAGCAGCCGGAUCCGGCCGUCGGCGAGCCGCGCCAUGGAUCUAGUCAUCCCAGGGCGAUUUCCGGAGCCGAGGGCGACUUGAAGAUUUCUACCUCAAGCUGAGCCGCGCCGUCGAUCUGGCCAACCCAGGCUGAGUUGCUGGCUUGCUGCCUGUUGGCCUGCUACACAGCCUACUGAUAGUAUGCUCGGUAUUUGACAGGGAAAUCACACAGCGAAGGUACAAUUUUUUUGAGUUUUGUUUCAGUCCAGAUGUACCAAACAUUAUAUUUCUACGAACUGAAAAUCAACUGUAAACAUAUGUAUCCUAAACAUUCUAUUUGAAUCACCUAUUCUACUUUGAUUACCCCGUAGUCUUUUCUUCUCAGUCUCACUCUCAAAUCCAGCUUCAUGCACUUCCGUGACCUUUUCUUAUCUAGAAUCUGUUGAGGCUGUUACCUUUCUCUGAAAAAUGCCAUAUAUCUUGGGCUUUGGAGGAAUAAAAAAGCUCUCCACUUGAAUCAAAUAAAUUAUGGCGUUAGCAGUAGCACAGUAAGGGUUCUCACCUGCAUAAGUUCUUUUGAGUGACCAAGUCAGAUGUGAUUAUUUUGUUAUCUCACAACUCAUGAUUGUUGAUUUCCAAACUCCGUUUGACGUAACCGUUAGGUUCUUGUGCAUUGUGAUGUAGUAAAUGUUGUUGUGAUCUUCAAAACGAGAAGGCAGAUUAGUCUAAUCUCCAUUCUGUCUUCUUCUACAACUGAAAGAUUCAGAGGUGUCACACUUGGAGCAGAGGAAGAAAUUUCUUUUGUUCUUACCUUCUCUACAAAGAUGUGCAUAUAGUAACUCUGUUUAGUCAUGUCCACCAUGUUUCUAUGGUUUUCUAUUCUGUUGUCUUUUCAUAUAUAUCCCUUUGAAGCAAUGGGCGUUAAUAUAUUAAUUGUAACAAGGUUGGAAACUGAUGCGGAUGCGCGCAAGGGCAACGUUGGAUGACACCUAGAAGAGCAAGCACAGUGCAGCGAAGGAAGUACCGAGCUUCGGCAGCACUACACCAUCGUCCUCUGCCUCACCGAGCACAUCAAUUUCAUGAGAUGGUGAGAGCAUUUUGACAGAUUGUGUACUUUUCAAUUUUAGACCUUUGUGCUCUAGAUGCCAUUGCUGGAUGUCGACUUGGUGGUGAGAUUUCUCAAAUGCUCCAAUGCUCCAAGUUGAGUCUUAACUUCAAAAUAAAAAACGUAGCAUCUGCAAGUUCUCGACCAUCCUUGAUUUGAUUAACCAUCAUGCAGCUGUUAUAUUUUUUGCAGCUGUAAUCUUUAAUGUGAACAUAUUUUCAUAAUAGUGGUAAAAAAUGUUUCUAAAGAAAAACAUGAAAGUUGUUUCUAAAAAAAAUGGUGGUAACUCUUUCUCUAAAUAAAAAAUUGUGUAACUCGUUUUCUGAAUAAUCUAAAAGAUUGUAAAAACAAGGUUAAUAAAAAAUUGUGACAACUAUGUUUAUGAAGUUUUUUGUGUACUUCAUUUUUUAUGAUUAGGCUACGUUUAUGACCAGACCGGACAGUCGUCGUUUUUUAUAGACUGUACAAAAAUUUGUAGGCAUGUACCACAAGAAAGUACGCAAGAUGUGAAAACUUGACAUUGGUAGGGUGCUUAAUAAAUGUAUUUGGAAAUGUGGUGCUUCAUAAAUAUUGAAACAAUGGACCUAUGAGUACAGGGCUGAGCACGGAUUGAAAAGUUUAACCUGGCUAGCUACCAAAAAAGGCAUCCUCGAGGAUUUGUUUCGUUGAUUUGGUUUAAUCCUUAUUCCAUAACCAUCAAUAAUUACAGAGACAGUACUUUCUAUUGUCUCAGGUUAACUCUUGAUUGGAACCUGACUGAACAAUGAACAAGUCCAAGUAUCUUGACAAAAUUUCAGUAGUAACCAAAUUUCAAAUAAGCACCUUUUAUGCCAAGAAAUUAACCAUCAAGCAUAAUUUGCAAUAUAUUAUCAAUCUGACAAAAGAAUCACUACAAAUUCUAUUAAAUCUUUUUUAAAUAGGGGUUUUCAUCAGGUUUAGAAAUCAGACUGUAAACAACAAUUUUCAGUGCAUGUUCAAGGUGUGUUACAGGCCUACAUCUAUAUCAGAAUCUCAAAUUACACAUUUUCAAAGUAUACUGUGUGACACAUAUAUUGUACUACAUAGUUCUUGUUUAUUUCUUGUCACCUAUUUGUUAUAUCUAACAAUAGGAUAUUCUAGAUCAACUCCCCGCAUAGACCCGCUUCAAGGGAGGAGGAUGCAGAGGCCAGCAACAAGGAGCGGGUGUGGGUGCUCAUCCUCGCCGCUGACCACAAGUGCUGCGACAAACUUUGGGCAGAAUUCCAUCCCUCCACGUGUAUGAGCAAAUCAAAUACUACUUACUUCUUUCUGUCUGUUGUCUGCUGAAGUAGCUAAUAGACCGCUUUAGAAUGUUGUGAGCUUGGUUAUUUUACAUUGUUUGCUAAUAUCAAGCAAAGAAUGAAUGCUGGAGUGUGUUACUGUGCUUCAUUACAAUCCCUAGAAAACUUUAGAAAGGGUGUUUCUGUCCACCCACAUAAAUCAAAAGAUAAAUCUAUGAUUGCGCGGCAGGCCUGAUAAUCCACACCAGACCAAUCAAAAAAGAGGACAAUCUGUGACUUGUUGAUUAAUCAACAAACCCGGUGUUGUUGUCCACUACCAGCCGGCUGGAGGCCCCAACUCGUUUGGCUCCGUCUACGCGGUGCCAGGAGAUUAGCACAUGGAUGCAUCCGCCGGCAGUACCAACUGCACAUCAAAGAACAACGGAUUAGUACGUUGACAGGGAUAGAAAGAAAAAUAUGAAACUCGGACAC
rnacentral:lncRNA from 1 species